rnacentral:misc_RNA from 1 species
AAAGUGCGAAAAUUAAUGCAACACGCAACACGUGAGUCAUCGAGUCUUUGAACGCAUAUUGCACCCGACAGGCUCGCUUGUCGGGUCUGCCUGUCUGAGUAUCAGCACGGACCCAAUUGUUGCGCGAGGCUGUUUGGCCUUGUCGCGGCAGCUGGCGCUCGCCCGCAAUUUCUGUGGGCGGAAUUAGGGUUUCGGGUGCGGCGCGUCUCGACGCGCUCGCCCGCUCCCUGAAAUACAUUGGCUUGCCGGCACUAUUGCUGCGCGCCCCGCUUCUAGCAUUGUAAUCAUCCUCGGAUGUCCUUGCUUCACGGCGUGGCGGAACGGCGGUGCUGCGCGAGCCAGCGCGUGCAAAACGAUGCAAACCCUUAAACCCUUGAUCUCAGAUCAGGCAGGAUGACCC